AGAGCGCUGCCUUCCUGUUGCACAGAGUAACCUCUUGUGAUUCUUCGCAGCAUCCCAGUGCCGUGAUCGCCGGCGCUCUGCAUUCAGGCAUGACCUGGGCUUUGUGUCUGGUGGCUGUUCCUCCUGCCUCUGAAGGUCUACAGAUGCUGGGAAAAAAAGAAAAAAGAAAAAGAAAAAGAAAAAGAAAAAGAAAAAGAAAAAGAAAAAGAAAAAGAAAAAGAAAAAGAAAAAGACUCAGGUUGAUGAGCCAUGCAAAGAAACAUCAGACUUUUUCACAAUGGAGACCUGCCAGCCAACACAAGGGUAUCCAGCUGAUGAGAACAAAACAGAUGGAAUUCUGCAAGCGGAGGCCAUGCCUUUGAAGGUGCUACCUUGAAAACAGCAGAACAGGUACAAUUCACAAGUAGCCAGAGAGUCAUGGAGUCCACCAAACACCAGCCAUGGUUCAAUGAGUCAGCAGCAAACACAAUGACGAGCAACUCAAAGUGGUGCUGAGCUCAGUUAGCAAACCUGACCUGCGGUUUCAUACAAACCCUUUUUCCUUCUUUUAGACUACAUGGGUUCAUGCCCCCUGAAUUUCGCUCUCAGUUUCAGGUAUGAAUGAAUUCAAAAUCUUUAGGUAAAAUUCAGUGAGAAGAAACUACCUAGUUUUGACUGGUUUCAGUACAAACCCAAGCAAAACCACAGAAUUGCUCAUGGUUUCCAGACCAAACCAUAUAUUUCACCUAGUUUUUUGGAGGUUUCAUUAUGAAAUUUUCAUGGAGUCAGAAAAAAAAUAAGCAUGCAGCUUAAUGUCCCAAAAGCACUUUGAACUGCUAUCUACACUUCUGUUUUCUGAGAAUAAAAUGAUUGAAAGUGCGUAUUUUUUCUAUCAGCCAACGUCAAGAUAACUGGUUGCAAAGAGAUGGUUCUCUGCACCGUGUGAACCCCCAGUUUGCUUUAAGUGCAAAUGGAUUGGCUUACUGACCCUCCUUAGCUCCUAGGUUUUGGACUUGGUUUUGGUCCUUGUGUUGGGCUUGUUAGUGUAGCUUCAGCCUUGAAUACAUGCCUGCAAGAGAAAAAUAAAGAAUUCUCCUUCUUAUGGUGGGAAAUCUAUGAAUGCUGCAGGCACAGCAUAGGCAAGUCUGCAUCUUUUAUGCUUUCUAGAGUAAAGAAUAUCUCUGGGUUUAAAGAGACUUGGAAAAUACUGAGACUCCAAUGGUGUUCUUUCUUAUUGCUUGACAGUGGUUUCUUCCAGCAGGGAAUAAAGCUUGGAUCAUUUUUAAGUCAGGCCAGGAAAUUCAUCAAGCAUUUGGUAGCUCCAGCUACUCAUACAUGUGUAAGUGUGGUGCAACAGGGGCUGUGCAAAUUAACAUAGUUUCAGUCUCAAACUCAUGAUAGUCAAACAGCAGACAAAAGAAAAUAGCAGUGAGGUGAAGACAUUGAGAGACAUAUAUUUUACUAUAGAAAAUUUGUCACAAGAUAUAAUGCAUUUUCUGUGAUACAUAAGCAAAUGUAUUUUUUUUUCUGGAUACAUUUCUGAAGGCUGUGUCUCACCUACUGAACCAAUUCUGUCAUCUAGAAUACAUCAGUACUAAUUCUCUUGCUGAAUUCCAUAGGAACUAGCUUAUUGAGCACAACUGAACCAGGAAACUCAACUAGACUGGAAGAUUUCAUUUUAAAAGACAUCUAGCUUUCAUUUCAAAGACUUCAAGCCAUGAUGGAGUUGCCAUUUCUUUCAAGGAGUCAUGCCAGUAUUUAAGUAAGCUCAGCCUAAUGGAUUUGUUUCUCUCUCUCCUAUGGGGUUGACAGAAGCAGACAGAUAGGAAGAUAGAAAAGAGGAAAGCCUUGGGGUUUGUUCACCUCAUCCAUCAUUAACCCUCACUUCCAGUGGUCCAAACUUUCCUUUUCCCAGUUAAAUUCACAUGGACCUAGCAUCAAAUUUUCUUCAUUCCUCAGUUUGAUUAAAUAAGUAGACCAAAUUGCUUAAAUUUCUCUAAGUAAAGGCGUCUUUUAGACCUUUGAUCAUAUACUCCCUCAUACCAUUAUAACUAUUUAGCAGGGAAAACUUGUAACAGAGGAUUUUUCUCAGAACAUACAGGAUGGGAAACUGCAACUUCAAGUAGUGCUUCGAAUGAAAAAAAGAACACACAGCAAACAAUUGAAAGUUAGAGACACCCACUCAGAUGCAAAAAUAUCCCGUACCUCUGUGGCAAAUGUAAAUGUAAUUAGGCAGUUUCAGGAUGUGUCUUGACAAGCUGGUUUGUUUUGUUUUGUUUUGUUUUAGCUAUUUUCUGGAGGAGUUUGGCCUGUUGGUAAAACUCAUGCUGGAAGGAAAUCUGGUUUCACAUCCGGGCUGUGCCACAGCCUCGCUGUGUGACCAGUGCCAUGUCACUCCCUGUGUCCCCUUCCCCGGCGGCACAGGGAGGGAAGCAGCACACUUCCCCCAGGCCAACAUACGGCUUCACUGUCUGGUAACAUCCCUUGAAAGAGCAGAAUUGUUUUAGGUGAGAUGGUGGUGACUUUGCCUUAGUUUCAUAGGCCAAAAGCAGAAGGGAAGAAGGGUGGGAGGUGAGGGAAUGAACGCUCUGCAAGGAAAGGCAGCCGUGCACUCUCUGAACUUGUCUGCUUGUUCUGCAAGGAGACAGGUUUGAACCCAGCAGUGAGCAGGACGUGCUAAUGCCUUCGGGUCUAUAGCAGCGUGCCUGUCUCCGGCAUUUUCCACCCCAGAGCUCUUAUCUUUUUACAAGAAAGAUCUACAUAAUUUCUGCUGCUUUACAGACAGAAAAACUGAGGCAGCAGCUGGAGAAGUGACUAAUGCAUCAGGGACAUCACAUGUCUUUGUGAAGCCUUUGCCAGAUGCUUUUUGAAAACGAGAUCCUUGGGGCUUCUACUGCGAACUCAGCCAGCCUGCAGAAAUGGCAAUGGGGCCAAGGCUCCACGUGCCCACGGGCAGUCUCUGCCAGCCGGGCAAGCCAAGGAAUGAGGGAAGGAGUCUGGUGAAGAUAAUGAGAAAGAGGAGGAGGUGGUGUAGGUUGUGAGAGAAGAUGAAACAGCUUUGACACAAGCAAAGGAAACUUCAAGUUUGGAAUUUCAAAAAAUCGACUCAACAUUUCUGUCGUAGCAGAUAAACAUCUAUCUGCUUUAUUACUGGGAAUCAUCUUUUUUUUUCUGAUUAUAAAUAGAAACAGAAUGCUACUUCGUUAUUUCCUCUGGGUUUUUUUGGGGUAGGUACAUGUGGGUGGUAAACAGCUUGCAAAGAAGUUGUUGUUAUUAUUAUUAGUCAAUAUGAAGAACCAGAGGGUAGCGCCUGAGACUGCGAUGCACCGGGUAUGGGAUAGCCACAAACCAAAUAUAGGUCAUUCACUCAAGCACAUCUAUGACGAAGGGGACAGAGCACAGGCGAACCACUAAUCUGUAGCUGUGAUUAUUGUUGCUUUGCGAUACUAUCUGUAUCGCUAUACACAUUUUUUUUGUGUGCCAAAAGGCAAGCAGAGACACAAAAGACCUCAAGGGCUUAAACUAACAAUGAGACAUAAAACCAUCAAUAAGCAGCUGAACAGAGCUAUCAGUGCACUUGUUUAAGAAAGCUUUUUAGCCUCAACAAAGCCCUGCUUGUGUCAUGGUAACAGCUAGCAGUGGAAACGUGCGGUAUUGGUUGCUGUACAAGCACAUUACAAGACACUUUUGUGAAUCUGCAGUCUAAACAGGCGAUACAAGGUCUGAUAGGAAGCACAAGCACUGAGCUCGGGUUAUCGUGUUAUAUCAGGCUGUUCGUCUUCCAGCCUGAAGUGCAUGAACUGCCCUUGCUUGCUUGGAGCAUCCCUGGUGACGGGCAGCAAAACCCAUCAGGGCUGGGGAUGAAGGACUGUCCCGUGACGCACCGGUCUGGCCUCGGGGAGAGGGAAAGGUAGGGAUGACCUGAGUGGGGAUUCUGGGGAUGGAGGUCCUGGGGCACCCACAGGCAUGUGGGCUCCAGGCAGGGUGGGGAGUCCCAGCAAGUGAUAGCUGGUAGGUACAUGCCAGUAGGUUCACCAAACACAAGGGGAAACUUCAUCCCCUGGGAGAGUCCUGGCUGCCAUGCUCCAUAUGUGGCUAUUGUGGCCAGUACAGGCUUUAGAGUGGCCUUCAGGGCAGCCCUGGUUACCAGCGUGGCUCUGUCCUGAAGGAUGUGACCUGGGACAGUCAGCUGGUCUGUGCCAGCUCCCACACCGGGACUGGUCUUCUGAGUCGUGGUCCAAAACGGGUGCAACCAGCUGGGAAGGAUUCAGUAGAUUCCCCAUCACUAAACAAUGCUGUUUUGUUGAAAGCAAAACUCCUUAUCAGAAAGAUGGCCAUUCUGAUAAAACAGUUCGGAAAAUUUAAGAAAAUAAUAAAUUUGAAAGAAACCAUUUCAGCAUUUUGAGAACCGAAUGAUUUCAUUUUUCUAAAAAAAUGUUUUGUUUUGGAACACUUCACUUGAUACUAUUUUAUUUAUUCAAUGUAUUUAUUCAGCUCGAAACUCUGGGAAACAAUCAAGCCUUUUGAUCUCCAUUUGCAACACUUUGGUGGUGGAGAAAGGGACUUUUGCUUUGUGACACAUUUCUACACCUUGGUGUAAUAAGGGCCAGAUGACGUUGCACAAAGACACGGGGCAAGGGGUCAGGGACCAGCAGACAGGCAAGGCAGGUGGGACACAGGAAGAGCUGCAGGAGAAGUAAGGAGCAGUAACAAUUGGAGAGGGGUUGUGAGACUGAAAGAUUAAAUCCCUGGGUCCAUGGGAAUAGGGCUCCCUACCUCUGCCACCACUCAAUCUCAUUUAGGAGCAUUGUAAUGCACUGGGCCUCACUGAGAAGUAAGUGUAGGGCUACCAAAAGGGGAUGGCUAUUCACAGCACAGCCACACACCCCACAGAGGAACUGUGGUGCUGUUGGUGACUAUAUUAAAGCAAGAUGAGAUGGAGCUACCUUCUAAGCAAGAGCACAUCUUCUUCCCUGCUCGCUGCAGCACUUGAGAGUGGCGGAGAGCUGGAGGAGGGAGAUGGGGCGAGGGGGUGCCUGGGAUGAGCUUCAAGGUGGGGGCAAGACAAGGAUGGAGAGAUUGUGAGGCUCUGGUCUGCUCCACACCCCUCCAAGCUGGGGAAGGGAUGGAGAUGGCCGAGGGGAGGGCACAGCACGGCCGGGCUUUGCUGGAGGAGCAGGUGCCUGUCCUCAUGGGUGACCACAGGGAUGGGGGCAACUGCUCCUGUGGGGCAGCAGACGGCCACUGGUGACCACACUUUAUGUCGGGGGGGAAUUCUUGGCUUGGGAACCAUUUUUUCUGAAUAAAACCAGCAGCUAUGACAGCUCCUCCGCACAAAGGGGAAAUUUCUAUAGGGCACAGAGGAGAAUUUUUUCC